rnacentral:rRNA from 1 species
AUUGAACGCUGGCGGCAGGCCUAACACAUGCAAGUCGAGCGGAUGAAGGGAGCUUGCUCCUGGAUUCAGCGGCGGACGGGUGAGUAAUGCCUAGGAAUCUGCCUGGUAGUGGGGGAUAACGUCCGGAAACGGGCGCUAAUACCGCAUACGUCCUGAGGGAGAAAGUGGGGGAUCUUCGGACCUCACGCUAUCAGAUGAGCCUAGGUCGGAUUAGCUAGUUGGUGGGGUAAAGGCCUACCAAGGCGACGAUCCGUAACUGGUCUGAGAGGAUGAUCAGUCACACUGGAACUGAGACACGGUCCAGACUCCUACGGGAGGCAGCAGUGGGGAAUAUUGGACAGUGGGCGAAAGCCUGAUCCAGCCAUGCCGCGUGUGUGAAGAAGGUCUUCGGAUUGUAAAGCACUUCAAGUUGGGAGGAAGGGCAGUAAGUUAAUACCUUGCUGUUUUGACGUUACCAACAGAAUAAGCACCGGCUAACUUCGUG